rnacentral:lncRNA from 1 species
UUCUCGCCAAAGAAGAGAUUAUGACACUAUAUAUAUAAGUUCAGGAAUUGCAGCAAAGCUCGUAAACGAGUUUACAACAAGAUCCCGCUGCAUUUGCGUGGUUUUACUCCCGGAUGUCACUAGACAGACUGAUCACACAGGAACAGAAAAGCAGUGGGUAAGCAACAGUUGCGGCGUAGCUCAGCCCUGACAUUAUAGCAAGCUCGUCCCAAAAAACUAUUAACUCAUGCUACUAUUCUUGCAGACUAAUGUGAGAUUUGCAAAAAUAGAAAUAAAAAACUAUACAGUUGUGUUGUGUUACUCCACGGUGUCACUGAACACACCAUAAUAACAUAAAUCUUACUGUAUUGUCUUCGAUCUCCUUUAGCCUGCUGCUAAACCAUCAUCGUGGAGGUCUUCCAUACAGUGUGACAGGAUAACUAUACUGCCGGCAUUUGACGAAAAAGGGAAAGAUGCAGUCUACACAAAGUACCUAUUCUGGAUGGAGGCAACAAAUUUAUCUAAUCCAUUUCAGCUACAGUAAUUCAUUAGCUCGCACUCGGCGCGAGUGAGGUCCUGGACAGUUUAUCGCCCAUCGGUGCUGGAUGAAUGUUGCCACCAGAGCGACAACAGUGGCAGCGACUUCGAGCAGCAGAGCCGAGAUGACGCCGGCUUUUGAGGAAGAAUUAUCAUCAGCCAAUACUGCCAGAACACCAUGCGACGUUCUCACCUAAUUGCUCAACCAUCAGCGGAAUCCUUCAACUAGAAGAAUCAAGUUUCCAAUCAGAAAAGCAAAGUAGCACUUCAUAUAAAGAAAGGGGAACAGGCUUACUGAUGAAAGAUAGUGUACCUCUGUAACUGACUAUGGAGGCCAAACCAUCGCUCGAUUCGUUGUCUGCAAACCAACAGGUCACCCCAGCUAAAAUAAACUACACCAACAAAUCCGCAGCUGGGGCCUUUUGAGUCUAUCUGUAUCUAACAUCACAAGACAGGCACACAUAAAAUCCAGAACAAAGAAAAUCAAGCAUCACCAGAUAACAGAUGUUAAAAUCACGAGCAAAUCUCCCUGCUAGCUUGGUCCGAUCUGAUCCUCUGCUAGCUGAAGACUACGAAUCAUGGAGGGAUCCAAACUGUUCCGAUUCCAGCCAGACGAGCAGGGCUGCUCUGUUUAGUAGCCGUUGACCAGCAGCGCAGGUGCUCCCCGCCGGUGUUGAAAGUUCGGCAUCACGGAUUUCUCUAGAAGUGAUCCUCUGUUGCCAAGCCAACCUAUUACAGACGGAAUACAAAGUGGAAAUACGUACACGCAGAAUCAUAGCAGGGUUGUAGGAGAUCGAGACCUGCAUCUCUCUCAAGUUAAGGGUAACAAGCUAAUGUUUGCAUGUCUUACUGAAAGAGAGAAUUAAACCUUAUCAAAUUUGCUUCAACAAAGUACUCCAAAUGCAAAUUGUGGUAAUAUGCGUCCAUAAAAGCCCACCUCCAAAUUUUUUUUCUUGUACUUUACUCUGAGUUAAACAGGGCACUUGGGCUGGGUUGAGAGGUUCAGUCUCAUUCAGACUUUAUUCUGAGAAUCUGCUAUAAAUAGUAAUGGGACAAGUGCAAUCAGCAAACUUGCGAUGCGUAGACAUUGCCAAUCAAGAGUGCGACGAAUCACCAUCAGCACCAAGAAAUUCUGAGUUCUCUCACAAUAAGCGAGAACCCACAAAUUCAGAGUUCUCUCAAGCAUUGAUUUUGUGAGAACUUCCAAGGCAGUGUGUCUGGACCCUUCCCCGGACCCUGCGCAAGUGGGAGCUACCUGCACCGGAUGGCCCUUUUCCAAUGCGGUGUGUCUCUGGACCGUAGUUUGAACUUUCAAAGAAAUGUUGGGCUCAUGCUGAAGAAUGUGAAGUUGUGACAAAGCAUUUUUUGAACAUAGAACCGGAGUAGUUUGGAAUAUUUUGCUCCCUCAUGUAAACUGCUAGGUGAUAUCUGCUCCUAACAACGUAGCAAACAAGAGGCUUAAAGCUUCAACAUGUGUGGAGUAUUCGCUCAAGAAGUUUAAAUAUCUUAGGAUGGGAAUAAUUUAUGGUACUUGCAUCACAAGUAAUAGUUCAUUACCCAUAAAUAGUUACCACCAAAGGUGUGCAUAAGAGACUAUCAAUAGAUCCUAUUGACAAACUCUUAAAUACAGCAAUAUACCUUCCACCCCUUCAUAAAGAAAUCGAGAUUUGUCUUCUUUCUUGCUACAGGAACCAGGAACCGGUUAACAGAUUCCUUAAGUAGUUACUCCAAUGAAGGGGAAACUUGACAUGAUUAGUGAAAAUAUAAAACCCACAAUGGAGAUGUGUCGGCAUUAGUCAUGUUAUUGCAUGCCAAAAGAAAAUGAAUCAUUCAAAGGACUAAGGAGGACAGCAGACCACUGAUUCCUUUGUAAUUGCCUUCCCAUCAGGCACACCAAGUUUCUGUUCCUCGUCCCUCACUCCAGUCCGUUUCUUAAAGUUUUGUAUUCAGAAAAUGGAGAAUUAAUGCCCCAUCUGCUUUCAAGCAUCAAACAAAGGAAACCAAAGGUGGUGGCCAGGAACUUAAUUGACCUAAGGUUCAAUAACAAUCAUAUGUCCUAGAAUUAUGUUACCUAAUAAAUCAUAAAGAUAAGAAAAAAAUCUAAGAGCAUAGGGGAAUAUUCAGGGCACGUAGCUGACAAUAUUGGUUUUCUAUAUAUGAAUUAUGUUCGGAAAAGAACAAGAGUGGAAUGCAGAUACAGCUGGAAAGAACGUGAGAAUAACUUCUACAUUGUCUAAAUCUACAUCGUGGAACCAGCAACAUAUCACAGUGUGUCCAUUUAACUUGAUAGAAGCACGUUGCAUAACACAAUAAAACCGAGCAUAUAAAUUCAAUUCUCAUAUCAGAACAGAAGGGCACAUAUAAUCAACAAAUUAUGACCUAAACCAGAGAUUAGUGAUCAAAAGGAGGUUCUUAAGCAAAAUCUCAAAACUGGAGUUGUAGGGGAGGGAGGAAAGUGGGAGAGAUUAACAUAAAACCAGUAAUUUGAGGCAGGGAGAAAAUAAAUGGAGGUAACGGCAAGGAAGUGGAGGUGAAAAUUGUAGGGGAGUUGAAGCACGCCGGUGUGAGGUCACAGAGAAAGUUGAGGAACUGGCAGCAAAUAGCAGGCAAAGGAAUUGCAAAGCAGGUUCACUUACCAGCCUCAUCAAGAUGACAGCUUCGCCGGCGCUUAGACUUCGGAUUUGCUAGCCCGGGAGGAACGAAAUUGAAGGAUACCACAAAUUUAGGGAGAUUGUACGCCGAGGUGCGUCAAAGAAGAAGCCCAUGUGAAUAUGGGAAUUUCUACCGCGUGACGAGAUGACUUUUUCUUCUAGAAUGAGAGCGAGUGGCACUCCUGGCAGGCAAUCUUCGACCGACUGUACCGAGUACGAAGCCCGAAGACCAAUUCCAGCACAAUCAACUCCAGGGCUCUUAAGUCAGUCUUCGAAGCAGCGUUCCAAGAGAUGGUAGACCUCUAGCGCGGCCACAUUCACACUGUAAAAAGCCCUACUCUGAAGUCUGUGACUACGAGGGAAACCAUUUAGAACUCCAAGCUGUCAUUCGCCACCUCCUCAGAGCUUCGUCGACAGUACCGUCAACCUCGCCUCCUAGCCCCCUCCAUGGCGACACCCCUCCCCUCGCUCCCGGUGUCCGAGCGGGAGCACCGGUGGCGUUCAUCCAUGUUCUACCCGAUAGGCCCCCAUCCCCCAAGUGCUCGCACGCGGAGAUCACUGCCUCCUGCCUUGGUGGCCCCCCUCCCUCGAACAUCACUACUGCGCGCGCCUCGGGCUCUUGCAGUCAGCUAUUGUCACGCCUCAUGACGGUUGAAGAAGCCGACCCAUAAUGGACCCACCACAUCACGCUAACGGCCAAGCCCCCCCCNNNNNNNNNNNNNNNNNNNNNNNNNNNNNNNNNNNNNNNNNNNNNNNNNNNNNNNNNNNNNNNNNNNNNNNNNNNNNNNNNNNNNNNNNNNNNNNNNNNNNNNNNNNNNNNNNNNNNNNNNNNNNNNNNNNNNNNNNNNNNNNNNNNNNNNNNNNNNNNNNNNNNNNNNNNNNNNNNNNNNNNNNNNNNNNNNNNNNNNNNNNNNNNNNNNNNNNNNNNNNNNNNNNNNNNNNNNNNNNNNNNNNNNNNNNNNNNNNNNNNGUCAUUCAAGAAGAUUCGCAAGGUCCACCCGGAGCCUCUUCUGGAGAAAGUUCUCAACGACAUCCCCACAUGGAUUGCAAAUCUACUCAACAUUGGAGGUUGGGUCAUACUUGUCAAAUCGAUGCUGCUCUCCAUCCUAGUUUAUCAUGCCAUCGCCAUGCAACUACCUUUGUGGUUACUUGCAGCGACUGAGAAGUGCAUUCGGGCUUUAUUUUGGAGCGGCAUUGACAGCUUCAAAGCAAUGUGUCUCAACAUUGGAGGUUAGCUCAUGCUUGUCAAAUCCAUGCUUCUCUCCAUCCUAGUUUAUCAUGCCAUCGCCAUGCAAUUACCUUUGUGACCUUUGUGGUUACUUGCGGCGAUUGAGAAGUGCAUUCAGGCUUUAUUUUGGAGCGGGAUUGACAGUCAGCUUCAGAGCAAGGUGUCACCCUGUGGUACUCAGCAGCCUCGAGAUCCUUGAAAUGCGCAUUCCUUAGCUACGAUCUAACGGUUGUAGCAUAAGUCCUCCCACUAUUGAUGUUGGCCGAGCUAUCAUCCCCUGUCAAAACAAGGUAUAAUCCAUGUUUGACGCACCCACUUCUUCCUACAUCGACGAUGGAAAUUCGACACUUUCUAGACCGAUAAAUGGCAGGAGGGGUAGUCCGUCCAGCUCCCCGCACUAGCGCUCUUCCAGGCAUCUCCCCCGCAACUCGCAGCACGUGCACCUUGCAUCAGGCCCUCGCAAACCAUUCGUGGAUCCAGCACGUCACUGGUGCGCUGACGGUGCAAGCCAUCACGGACUACCUGCACUGUGAAUUCAGCAACAUCGCCAUUCAUGAUAGCGUCAUAGGUCACCUGCUUUGAUAGUGGACGACAUUGUCCAAGUACUCACACACUAUGUGUGUCAUGCUUUCUUCCAUGGGCUUCAGCUGGCCCCCCAUGAGAAGGUGUCGUGAAAAGUGUGAGCAUCCAUCAAAUCCAAGGUCUAAAACACAAUGCCCAGGUCUUCAAUGAUCGACAAUGUAUAGAGGUCAUAGUCAGACAAUGGCUCAAUUGAAGCUCGGCUUUCAACUGCGGCUAGAGCCGCGCCGUUGGUACAUACCUAGAGAAAAGCGUAUUUGGGCGUCGGCGGUGUAACAGCGACAGCCCCCUCCCACCCCCUCAAUGUUAGCCCCACUGAUCAGCCCUUACGCUACCAUAUCAUGAAAACCACUCUUCUGAAUAUAUAGACACGCAAAGCUUUUGUGAGCUCACAAAAAAAGGAUAGUGUCUACCAACACCUCUUCCCUGAUGGUUUUCAUGCCAAAGUCAUGCAAUCUCCGUUGAAGUGGUCUUCGUAGUGUCAUGCAAUCUUCUGAUGCACCAUCUUCCCUGAGGCUUCUCCGAUGAUUCGCCCUCGUCCUUUUCUUUACCACAUUGGUUGUCCGCUUGUUGUGGAUUCUUCUGAUGCACCAACUUCCUCGACACCAUACCUCCUUCUGUUGGCAACACACCGCCUCCAACUUAUUAACCUACUUAUGGCUUCUGCUCGCUUGCUUCCGCCUAUUGGCCACUAUGGUUAUUCUAGCGAUGCUCUUCUCAGACGAUUUCUUAUCGUGACAUUGUUGUUCAUGGCAGAGGAGAGUUGCUCAUGAUUGCACUAGCACGUGGGAUCUCAUUUCCCUUCUUCCCUAUGCUCGUCCCGCCACUUGCAAGUGGGUCUACAAGGUUGAGACUGAUGGUUCUCUCGAUCGUUACAAAGCUCAUCUUGUGGCCCAUGUCUUUCAGCACGAAUAUGGUCGUGACUAUGAUUAGACAUUUGCUCAUGUGACCCUCAUGACCACUCUUCACACACUUCUCGUUGUAACUUCUACUCGCCACCAGGGUCGGUCCUAAUAUUUCGAGGGCCCUGGGCGAAACUACAACCCGGGGCCCCUACUAUAAAGAUCAAAAUAAUAAUCCCAUUUCUUUUUAGAUUCAUUCCUUUACUUAACUUAUUAUUGUCUAUUGUUCCAAAAUAAAAUGAAAAUUGUAAAUGGUGUAUUCCUUUACUUAAUUAGACAAACCGAAUACCUCAUAGAGGGCAAACAUCAAGAUGAAAGGUUUAAAGUUUAAAAGCUUCAUUUGCAACAACAAAAGAUCAUUUACCUACCUGAUGGCUACAGGAGUCUGAGUGGCUUUAGUAUAUAACCAUGUUAGGAUUGAAGUUAUGCGUAUAAGAAUAGCUGAGACCUUCCAGUUUUUAAGUUAACUUUGCAGUCAUGAUGUGAGAACAAUCCAUCUCAUGAGGAUUUGAAGAGAGAAGGCAAAGAACGACGAUUGAAUGCAUAGCAGCCAACUUUUUCAAUAGAUAAGGCGAUUGGUGUUGUCUUGAAAAAGUCCAAAUUGAAGAAAUAGAGGAAAGGGCACACGAAAUCAAAAUUUUACACUGCAUCACAUGCGAGACCUUCUAAGAUCUGACCGUUGCUGCACCAUAUGAAGUGGCCAAAUAGGAAGGGGAGGUUAGGGAUGACCUUACAAGUGGAGUGGCUUCGUCUUGCACAUGAGAGGCAUCUCAUGAACGGGGGAUAACACAACGAGACCUGGACGAAGACCAGCCGGCCGCAUGGCGGAGAGCAAUCUACAUUGGAGUCGCCCUUGGUGGAAUAGGAUCGUCGCGAAGUGGCGAACUCGCGAUCGCAAGAAGGAAAACAGGACUACUCGUUGGCUAUGUUUUUUUAGGGGACCCGUGGGCUACGUGCGUCUAGGUUGCUGCCUCCCUAUGGCCUUGGCCAUGGGCUCCUUGUGAACCCUGGAGGGCCCCCUCAGGGUCGGCCCUACUCGCCACUAGUCUCUCAGCUUGAUGACAAAAAAGCCUUUCUCAAUGGCGACUUGCAUGAGGAGAUCUACAUGCAGCCACCACCUGGGUAUUCUGGUCCUGACGGAAUGACCUGUCGUCUUCGUCGCUCUCUUUAUGGCCUUAAGCCAACCCUCGUGACUUAGUGGUGACUGUGGUUGGUUCUCUGGCACUUUAUGUCCACCUUUUAGCUCGUGGUCGGACUCUUCUAUAUGUCAAUGACAUAAUCAUCACGGGUGACGACUUGGAGUACAUUGCCUUUGUGAAGGCUCGUCUUAGUGAGUAGUUUCUCAUGUAUGAUCUUGGUCCUCUUUGCUACUUCCUUGGGAUUGAGGUUUCCUCAAACUCUAAUGGCUUCCUUAUUUCCCAAGAGAAGUAUCACUUCCUUGGGAUUGAGGUUUCCUCUAACUCUAAUGGCUUCCUUAUUUCCCAAGAGAAGUAUCUUUAGGAUAUUGCUCGCAUUUCUUAGACUCCUAUGGAGCUCAAGGUCCACCUCUGUGCUUCUGACGAUCAUCCUUCGUCUGUUUUUUACGUGCUACCAUCAUCGUGUUGGGAGUCUUGUCUAUUUAGAUGUCACUCAUCCGGAUAUUUCAUAUCCCGUUCAUACUCUAAGUCAGUUUGUCUCUGCUCCCACUUCUAUCCACUUCAGUCACCACAUUUGUGUUCUACGAUAUGUUCAUGGGACUCUCAUCGUCUCUUUUUUCCCAUGCUCAAGUUCAUCGAUCCCUUCCUACUUACUGUGUUUUUUCUUGGUGGUUUUCUCAUUGCCUGGAUCUUCGUGAGACUCUCUCUUGCCAUCUCUUCCUCCCAUGCUCAAGUUCGUCGAUCCCUUUCCGCUUAUUAUGUUUUUCUUGGUUUCUCACUAUAUGGAAGACAAAGAAACAGACUGCACUUUCUUGUUCGAGUGUAGAGGUUGAGUUGUGAGCUACGGCUAUUUUGACAGUAGAGGUGACUUGGCUACCAUGGUUGCUUGAGGAUUUUGGUGUUUCUAUGACUACACCUACUACUCUCUUAUCAGAUAGCACAAGUGCUAUCAGUAUUGUGCGCGACCCUUCGAAGCAUGAGCUCACCAAGCAUAUUGGUGUUGAUGCUUCCUUCAUGUGCUUCAGUGUGCAAGAUCAAAUUAUUGCUCUUCAGUAUGUGCCUUCCGAUUUAUAAUUGGCCGAUUUCUUAACAAAGGCCCAGACUAGAGCACAACACGACUUUUAUCUCUCCAAACUCAGUGUUGUUGAACCACCAUUUUGGUGCUUCUAUCUCUUCAAAAGAGAUUGAUCCAGUUUAUGGAUCGAAAACCGCAUGCCAAUUUACAAGGAAAAGUAGGCCAAAAACCACACAAGCAACAUAGCCUCAUCUACAGCGCAGCACAUGCGAAAAUUGCACUGAACACACGCCCUAGAUCCAAUAUUGCUGCUCCAGUGUAUCCCACUCGCACGCGAGCCACAUAGCAGAGUGCCCUGUCGUCCACAACCAAACGCUCACUUGGCACAAUAGUUGUGGCACCUCACUCCACAACAGCCACGUCCUGCCAUCCCGAGUAGUAGAUUCACAUGUAGACACCAGAUCUACCCACUAUCACAGCUGACGCACAGGCAUAGGGUGUGGAUGAUGCCUUUCUCCUUCAAGUGCCCUCUUUUGUCUUCCAUCUACCUCGCUUCCCCUAUCGUCAUCCUCUGGCCACUCGGCUAUGGGUCCAGCAUGGCUGACGACGGAGGCAAUCCGCUCCCGAAAGCUUUUUCACCCCUUCCCUCGCACCUCCUUUGUACUCUCCACUGCCUGCUAGUCCGAUUAGGCAUCCUUUUCCUGGAUACGAGUUGUUUUGUGCGCUGCCUUGUUCCUACAUCACAUGCUCCCAUGCAGGUUGUCGCAAUAGCCGUUAGCUCAGGCACCACCAAUGGUGGAGCAAGAGCACGAGCAGUCGGCACCGCCUCCGUCUUACGCAAGGACACAGAGCGCCCAGGAGCACGUCGCUACCUGUCGCCAAGGCCAGGGACGCCCAGCAAGGGAACGUGGAAUGCGAAAUCAAGUACGUGUCACACAACCCGCAAACAGGGCAAGGACAACAAGCCAGAUAGGCAGGAAACAGAGAGUGCAAGGGAGGUACAAGGAAGUGGUAAAACGCUAUCAGGACGGCACACCCACCAUCCUCUACCAUUUCCUCGCAUGAACUUGCAAAGAGGUGCCCUGAGCUGAGUUGUUCACCCCAGUUUUUCUCUCGUGGUAUUCUAUAAGACAUGUCACUUUCUUUCCCCCUGGCGCCAAGGGAGGAUCCUUGACCAACGCGGGGUUGCCUGCAAUCAAUAACCUCUUGUGAGGUGGCUUCGUAACAGAAUCCCAUAAAUUAACAUUGUUUGCAUUGACAUUGCAUGUAUCCGUAUUUCCAUUCGCAGGGCCAAAGUAAUCUUCUCGUUAUACAUCAGGUUUGAGUCAUGCCCAAUUUUCCCUCCACGACUGCCUUGGCCUCUACUGCCCAGCGACCUCUUACACGGGUAGUGCUACCACUAGGUUGAGCAAUUAACUCAUUUCUAGGUCGGAACCAUCAUAAAAUCGCGAAAUUGAAACUUCUUUGGAUCAUGAACCCCAUCCCCACAUUGUUCUGUACCAUGGCCAAUUUUAUCGUAAUUUGCGCAAAAUGCGACGUCUUCUCAUAUAACACAGGGAACAUUUACCUAGCUCAACAUUCCCUAGGAACCUAAAAGGGGGCUUCUCUGGUUUGAUAUUGAUGUGCACUCAAACAAACUUUCAUAUUCAACACCAUUUAGCCCAAGCUCCACAUCUAACACUUCUCCUAUCAUGGAAGCCAUUGCUCUAGCCACUGGUAUUUUGCACGGCAAGUCCGGUCGAGACCCAUGAUCCGAGCCCAAACACGUAUGGAGUUAUAAGGGCAACAUAUUCCAGUAUACUCCUCAAUUACCAUAGCAUGGUGCCUAAAGAGCAAAGGACCCCAUGCAUGGUUGUGAUUCCAAUCCCCAAAAAACUUAGAACUCCGUCGUAAAAGUGUAACCGUCAAGUGGUAUGAAUGUGACAUCCUUUGCCCUGCCCCAAGCCACCUGCUUGGCGGUGUAAAAAGCAGGAUGACUGAAGGGAGCCUUAAUUUUAAUCAGCACCACCCAACAAACUUAGCACGUGGGCUCUCCAAUCAAUCUUGGUACUCAAGGAGUAAGAUCGCCUGCUUUGGAAGCAGGCAUACAUCAUCCAAGUACUUCCCGUAUCGUGUGUUCUUUAUGGGCUUCAACUCGUCCCCUACAACAAAGUGUUGCGGAAAGCGUGGGCAUCCAUCAAAUGCAAGAUCCACAUGUGGCUCACCCCACAACAACAUUUAUGGUCUACGGGCUGUCAUCGGUGCCACGGUGUGGUCAAUCAUGUCGCAUGUCCCCUCUACUCUAGUGUCCCUGAGACUGCCAAAUAAAUGUUCAUCAGCUGCUCCUUGUCAACGGCAAUCUAGCAAUCGGUGCUCGCCUCUUUGGUGUCACAGCUGCCAUUCCAACAAGGGGCCGAAAUUUCCCUUUCCGACCAGUGGAUUGGUUGUCACGGAACCACUUCGUCUGUGGCGCGCCAGGAUCUUGAGCCAGCAUUUUUGCUUGCAAUCUAACCAUCUAGAAGGAACGUAACGCUUGGGUGAUCAAUGAUCGACAAUCUAUAAAGACAACGACAGGAUGAUGAAGCUCGGCUUUGGAUUGCGGUUGCAGCCAUGCGGUUAGCACAUAUCUGGACUACCGUCUAUGAUCUACUUACCGUCGUCAUCGCCACGGUAUGGACAUCCACGUCGCCUACACCCUCUGCUUUAGUGCCCUUCUCGACAGCUAUCUAGAAUUGGUGUUCUCAACACCUGUUCACCGGUUGGUCCUUCUCGACAGCUAUCUAGAAUUGGUGUUCGCCACUUCAUCAUCACCGAUGCCCCCAGGAGGCAACGUUUCCCUUUCCAACUGGUGGAUUGGCUGUCAUGCGACAAUUCCACCUUCGGUGCACUACAAACCCAAGUCAGCAGUGUUGCUCGCAUUCUAGACCAUCUAGAAGGAACACAAUGCCCGAUCAAUCCCACUCUAAGUUUCCGAUCAAUUUUUCUCAGGCUACUACGCUUAUGUGCAGCCCCACCUCCUCGAUCCGCGCUCCGCUGCCUCUUGAUCAGGGUCACCUCCCCUUCCUUGUCCAAGCCUCUCGCGCCUCGAUAAAUUCCCACAGGCUUCUCCCAUCGUGCCCUUUCGAGCUCGGUACCUCCGCCUCCAUCAGACUCUCCCCUUGUGGCCACAUCCAUCGCACUCGCACCGCAGACUACCUAUCAGACAUCUUCAGGAGGUUAGCGCUUCGCCGCCAUCUUCGGGAGGCCAGCGCCAUGCUACUCCAAGAGGCCACGCAUCGUCGCCAACUCGAACUAGUUGGCACCCAACCACAAUCGUCGAGACGUCCAUUGUUCCAGGUCGCGAUAUCAGCUCCCUCUUGCUACACACAGGACCUCAAACCCAGCAGCCCAUCCUGCCGACUGGCUUCUCUAGGGACCAUGUCCCUACCUUGUGUGCCCUAUUCGCAGCUCUUCCUUGCUUUGUUGCUCUUUCUUGUCGUAAGACGAAGCUUGUUCGAUAGUGUUGGUACACAUCACUCCACCGACUACGUCGCACAUGCGCCUUCCCUUCACGCUUGGUGCUUGUGUGCUCGCAACCUCAUAUCCUCCACCAACUUCUACAACCGAUAUUGAUCGUACUACACCGCCUCCUCUAGCGGCUUACACGGGUGGUCGUGGCCACUCUUUCGGUGAUUCGACGUCGACCACUUCAACGGUGUCCUUCACCGCGAAGGAGAUUGCACGACUUCGACACCUACCUGCUGCUUCAGUUGAACCCCUGACUACGUUGGAGAUUACGAGACUUCAGUGACUGCUAGAUGCUUCUUUUGGUUCUCCAUCAACAAUUUUGUUGUUGAUUCUUUCCAUACUGAGACCACUUUUUACGUAGUCAGGUACAUUUUCCACGGAUCCUUACGCAUUUCUCAGGAUGUGACUUUUGGUGAGUUUCAUGCUUUCUAUCCACGUCCAUCCCCCUAUUAAGGAUAAUUCUUUCCUCACUUUUCCCGAUACACCUAUAACUCAUGUAUUGUCCUCGUCCACCCACACUAUCGUGUCUUCCCGUACUACUAUAGACCCCAUGUCGUCGUCACCUAUGGCUUCCCGACCUCGUUCUUUACCUGAGGCUGCCANNNNNNNNNNNNNNNNNNNNNNNNNNNNNNNNNNNNNNNNNNNNNNNNNNNNNNNNNNNNNNNNNNNNNNNNNNNNNNNNNNNNNNNNNNNNNNNNNNNNNNNNNNNNNNNNNNNNNNNNNNNNNNNNNNNNNNNNNNNNNNNNNNNNNNNNNNNNNNNNNNNNNNNNNNNNNNNNNNNNNNNNNNNNNNNNNNNNNNNNNNNNNNNNNNNNNNNNNNNNNNNNNNNNNNNNNNNNNNNNNNNNNNNNNNNNNNNNNNNNNNNNNNNNNNNNNNNNNNNNNNNNNNNNNNNNNNNNNNNNNNNNNNNNNNNNNNNNNNNNNNNNNNNNNNNNNNNNNNNNNNNNNNNNNNNNNNNNNNNNNNNNNNNNNNNNNNNNNNNNNNNNNNNNAUUGGUGGCUCGCGUGUUGUGGAUUCUUCUAUGCACCAUCUCCCUCAGCUACCAUGCCUCCUUCUGAUGGCAAUGCACUGCCUCCAGCUCAACCUACUAUGGCUUCCGCGCUCACCCGCUUACGCCUAUUGGCCGCUACGGUUAUUCUAGCGCCGCUCUUCUCGAGACGACUUCUUAUCGUUAGGCUAUCUACAAUGCCUUUCUUAAUUGAAUGAAGUGAUAUACAUACUAAAUGGGAAAGCAAGACAUACUAGGACAAGCAAACUUGCAGCAUCCACAACGUCCUUACCGACCCUCCAUGCUGUUUUAACAGUUGUAGUGAUAUAAAAUGAUUGUCAAAAGACAGCAGCACACCACAGCCAGAUAAUUGAAUUUCCUCAUCCUGAAAACAAGGCCACACAACAUUAAAAAGAGCAGGAGUAGGCCAUGGAAAUAAAACAAGACAAACAUGAGUUGAGGAUGCAAGUGCAUAUCAUGGAUGGCACACUGAGCACAUAUACAAAGUCAGAAUUUCAUGAAGGAAGCAGACAGGGGGGAAAAUUAAGUGGUGAUACUACAUCCCGAAACAAACAACGCUCCAUCUGUGAUGGGAAACUAGAUACAUCCCGCAACUAGAUAAACGAACAAGAAAACAAACAGUAGCGCCAUCAUUAUGCAAGGAUGGACUGUAGCAGACUAACCAGACAUAGCCAUCACACAAUGGCCACGACAAGCUCAGAGCAACCAACGGAGGCAAGGAGGGGAGCUCACUGUGGCUGUUUCCGCUGCCGCCGUUGCACGGAAGCAGCGCCGAGGUGCCUGGCACGACGAGCCCCUUGUUGUCUGUACCAGUGAUGGUGUUGUACCGAAUCGAAUCCUGCUACACAAGGACAAGAGAAAUAACAAGUAAUCUUCAGGUCAAAUCGAAAGACAAAAGAAGCAAUCAUGGACUCGAGCUUGGAGAAAACAUGAGGUGGCCUAGUUGAGGUAAGGUGCAGAAACAACAAUGACCUAGUUGAGGUAAUAAAUAAGCAUUCUAUGCAAAUAGGAGGCAACAAGCCACCUUGACAAUAACCAACUUGUUUGUCGAUACACGCGCACAGAGCUAGAAAUAGUGGUUUUCUUUCUUCUCAUAGAAGGGUAUCAAUCGGUCAGUGUGCAGAACAUCAAAAACUGAAACUCGUCCAAGAAGAAUUCCUUAGCAGAAAUAAGAAAAUCAGCUCAUGUUCAUACAAGAACUAAACCCUUGUACAUCACAUCAACAGGAUCCGCUAAUGUGCAGAACACAUUUGCAACACACAUUUCCAGCUCACAUGAGCACAACACGCACAUGGGCUAGAGAUGAACACAUAUCACCUACUCCCUCCGUUCCAUAUUACUUGUCGCUGAUUUAGUACAACUUUGUACUAAAUCAGCGACAAAAUAAUAUGGAACGGAGGGAGUACAUCGGAAGAGAAUUGCUUGUAAUCAUGUUAUAUGCCUACUAUAUAUGAUUAGAACAACGGCAACUGGCUCAAUGGCUCAGUUAGAUAUCCUAGUUAGACAUCCUAAACCCAGCAGAGCAACAUAACCAACCACAUUAGAGCGGUAGCAACCAGACAACCAAUGGUUCAAUUAUGAGACGAUUCACAUGAACCCCAGCACAUCACAGGAACCAUAGCAUCCAUCACAGAUAAAAGACGAUGGUGUGUGUGCCCUUCCAGUCUCAAGACGUCUCGAACUAGGGUGCGUCUAGAUCUUGCCCCACGUCUACCACGUGGUGGGUCGGCCCAGUAUGGUUUGGUCAAUGGGUUUUGGUGGAGAUCUAGUCACUGCUUAGUAUACCUAUCUGAUUGCUAGUUAGUUCUCAAAAAGAAAAAAUUAUGAUCGCCACUUUGAAUUCUGAGAAAGAAAUGAUCACUAGUUGCUUGUAGCCAUCAUACACUUGCUGCUUUCUUUCCGUUUCCACUUUUUAGAUAUAAUAUACUAGCAAAAGAGCGCGUGUGUUGCAGAGUACUAUAUAAAUAAAUACAAUUCCAGUAAUUUCUAGUGAAGCAGAUCCCUUAUGCAUAACGAAGUAAGGUUUGUGUUAAAUCUUAUUGCCAAUAAGGCACUGAAUAUAUUAACCAUGCACAAAACUUUUCACUUUGACAUUACAAUAUUGCCCCAUUAUGUGUAGCAUGAUUGGGAUAUGGAAACUUCCACAGAUAACAUUUUUGGACUCUUAAGUAAAUAGUCCAGCAUAGCAGUUCAAGGCUAUUCCCACAUGUGCAUCCCCUGUGAAGAUCACAUGUGCAUCCACAUUGAGAAUUUCUGGAGCAUACACCCCACAUAUAUUAACUUGUAUCUUUUGUUUCCUGGUAUUUACAUGGACAUUAAAACAAUCAAGUUUCUUCUCUUUUGGAUUUAACCAUAAGAUAUGUUCAAGGAUAGCUAUAAGUUUGUAGACCUACCCAGAUCGGCCAUAAAAAACAGUUCCCGAUCAUGUGCCCAACUAUAGGUGAGAGCUUCCACAUGUAGGAUUUCAUUAAAAGAACCAACAUGCAAGCAACUGAGCAGUACUGUUUGAACAAAAAAACUAUCUUACUAAGGUGCAAUAGCAAGUAGCAACUACUUACCAAGGACAAUUUGUCGG